rnacentral:rRNA from 1 species
CAAUAGCGUAUAUUUAAGUUGUUGCAGUUAAAAAGCUCGUAGUUGGAUUUCGGUUAAGAGCGACCGGUCCGCCGUUUGGUGUGCACUGGUUGGUUUUAACUUCCUGUAGAGGACGUGCUCUGGGUUUAACGACCUGGACUCGGAGUCUACGUGGUUACUUUGAAAAAAUUAGAGUGUUCAAAGCGGGCUUACGCUUGAAUAUUUCAGCAUGGAAUAACACUAUAGGACUCCUGUCCUAUUUCGUUGGUCUCGGGACGGGAGUAAUGAUUAAGAGGAACAGUUGGGGGCAUUCGUAUUUCAUUGCCAGAGGUGAAAUUCUUGGAUUUAUGAAAGACGAACUUCUGCGAAAGCAUUUGCCAAGGAUGUUUNCAUUAA